AUCUAAGAUGGCGGACCGGCGGCGAAGGAGGAGGCGCGCGUCCCAGGACAGCGAGGACGACGACGAGUCCGGUUCGGGUUCGGACAGCGGGAGGUCGGGGUCCCCGGCGACCACCAAGGGCCGAGUGAGGGACCCCGAGCCGCCGGAGGUGACAGCGGCCCGGCCCGAGGCGAAGAGCGAGUCCGAGUGUGAGAGUGAAGAUGGUGUAGGAGAAGCUGUCCUCUCUGACUACGACAGCGCUGAUCCAGAGGAAAACGGCUCCCAUUCAGAGGGAGUUGAGGAAGAGGAGGCAGAACAGUACAGCGAUGAAGAAGCUCCAGCAGCCAGUGAGCCCAAACCCUCUGCAGCAGACAGCCCAGCAAAGAUAGAGGAGGCGGUGGAGGACGAGGAGGAUGAAGAGAAGGAAGCAGAGGGGGAGGGAGGAGGACAGAGUAAAGAGGAGAGCAAGGCCGAGGAGAAAGGGAACCUAGCCGGAGAGAGACAGAGCGGGGACGGACAGGAGUCUACAGACGACCCUGAGACGAAGGUGGGAGGAAAACCCGGUCAGAAGCUCGACGAUGAUGAAGACAGAAAGAACCCGGCCUACAUCCCGAGGAAGGGUCUGUUCUUUGAGCAUGACGUCAGAGGACAUGCUCAGGAAGAGGAGAGACCUAAAGGACGAAACAGGAAGCUGUGGAAGGACGAGGGUCGCUGGGAACACGACAAGUUCAGGGAGGAGGAGCAGGCGCCCAAGAGCCGCGAGGAGCUCAUCGCCAUCUAUGGCUACGACAUCAGAAACGGCGGUGGCUCUGGAGAUCGACCGUACCGGCAGCGCAGGCCGAGACAAAAUACGUCUCCAAGCCGAGACAAACGUUGGAGAGAUGGAGGAGGAGAGCGACCGGUCCGAUCCUGGCACAGUGGCGGAGGAGGAGGUCCGAACAGAGGAGGAACCCCACCUUCAUCCAACCACCCCUCAUCUACAUCCCCCUCCGCUCUCCCACUGUCCUCCACUCAGCGCAGCAGCAAUCCCUCCAGACCGCCUCCCUCUCGCAGCAGACCAUCCCACCAGAACCAGAUGCACCACCCGCCUCAGUCCCAGUACAGGAAUAAUGAAUCAAACGCACCUCAGAUGCACCCCAGAGAACGACAGGGCCCUAAGGCUCAGCUUGACCCCGCAGGAGACAGGGGUGGGGUCGGCAGGGGUGGACGUGGUGGUGGUUGUGGUGGUGGUGGUGGUGGUGGGGGAAGGGGACCCUCAGUGGUCAUUGAGGAUAUUACAGUCAUCCAAGGAGGUGUUAGGGAACAGGACCUAAGUGUCGUAACGACGGCGGCAUCAUCACAGCCAGGCAAUUACCAGUCUGCCUCGCCGAGACGACAGCAGCAGCAGCAGCAGCAGCAGCAGCAGCAGCAGCAGGAACAGCGAGGGAGCACAGACAGAUCUGCGCCCGCAUCUGUUGUUUCCUCAUCCGCCUCUGACCCCUCCCUACAGUCAUCAGCGACCAAUCGGGAAGCCUCUCCUCCCACCGAGCGGCCGGUGGAGCGUAAAUCGUACUCUCUGGCUCGCAGGACUCGCUCUCGGCCCGCUGACCUGGGCAGCAAACAGCCGUCCAUGGAGGAGUCAGCAGCCGGAGGGAACGCCUCCUCCCCAGGCAGUGUAGGGGGUAAGAGCUGGGCGGGAGCAGGCGAUGGGCCGACUCAGGCAGGUGGCAGCGGUGGAGGAGGCGGAGGAGGCGGAGGAGGAGGAGGAGGAGGAGGAGGAGGAAUCACAGAGCUGGACCAGGACGUGGCUCGACUCAGUCUGGUAGGACAGAGCUGGAGUCAGAGCCCGUCAUCCUACAUGCGGUCUGAGAUGAGAGGACUCCCGAACACCAUGCACAUCCCCGGCGGCCCGCCCCAGUUCUCCAGCAUGGAGGACAUGGGCGUCGGCUCCAAUCGGGCCAAACGCUACUCGUCCCAACGUCAAAGAGCUGUACCCGAGCCUGCACCGCCCAUGCACCUGGGAGUGAUGGAGGGACACUACUACGAACCCAUGUCGUACCAGGGACCAAUCUAUGCCCACGGGGACGGACCCGCCCCCAUCCCGCCACAAGGCAUGCUGGUCCAGCCUGAGAUGCACAUCCCACAUCCUGGUCUCCAUCCCCACCAAUCAGGCGGCCCGAUCGCAAACCCCGCCCUCUAUGGAGGUCCAGCUGUUUCUCUGUCGCCGGGGCAACCACAGCAGCUGCUGCCGCCGCCUUUCUACCCUCCGCCAGGCGUCAUGACCUUUCCUUACCCCACCAUGUACCCAAGUCCACAGGGUCAGGCCCAGGUGACCUACGGAGGUGUGACAUAUUACGACACAAUGCAGCAGCAAGCUCAGCCCAAGCCUUCACCUCCCCGCCGCACAUCCCAGCCCGUUACUGUCAAGCCCCCCCCUCCGGAGGUGCACUUUGCGUCAGAGUGACCCCGCUCCCCUCACCCCUCCCCGCCACCCAGUCUCAGCCUCACUCUGAUCCAAAAACUACAGGAGCGGGAUGGGAGGGUCAGUGAGGAGCUGUGGUCUCCAACAGCAACCACCAACGUUAUCCAGGGAGGGAGGGACGGGUGCACGGAGGUGAAGACGGACUCUGCAGGGGAACCCACAGCAUCACUGGUGGAAUAUGACUUUUCCCCCUUUUUUUAAAAUUUCACCUCUUUGUUUUCGACCCUGUAGCAGCGAGGCGACAUGUCAGACUGUUCUGUAACUCUGCAGUUGCAGGUUUGAUCCCACCAAUGUGUCUUUGAGCAACAACAAAGCUGAAAUGUCUACAUGUCGAACUGAUGAGUUCAAACCCUUUAGAAGCAUUUAACGUCACACCGAGUUGGACGGACGCAGUCGAGCUCUAAACGUUGGGAUCAGAGUUGUGAAAGUGCUGAAGUUUUUUUUUGUGUUGUUUUUUUUUUUCACACGGUUAAGUUUGCUGUUGUUACAGGAGUUGAAUUGAAUCCUGAAAACAGCAGCUGGCAGGCAAUAUAAAUGGUUUCUUUAUCAGCUCAUCUAUUUACUUCACACUGUAGUGUUUUGUUCUAAUAGGAAAACAGGUAUUAGUUUGUCAUUUUUCAUCGUUACUACAGAAAGAUUUAAAAGAUAUAAAAAAGAAGCUAACUAAAGUAAAACAGAUUUUAUGUGCAGUUGGAGGGAUGUUUGUGAGAAUCGGUUGUAUAUAGUUUGAAUGCAGCUCUCGGUGUGAUGUCACAGCUGACACUGUGCUUCCUGAAAACCUCCAGAUGUUACCGUCAUGUUACAGCUGCCUGGAGUUUGUUAGAUUUGGAUGUGUUUUUUUUCCUCCACACAGUCAGACAGACAGACAGACAGACAGUUCUUACACUUGAAAAUCUGUGUUUGUUGCUAAAACAGACUUUCAGAUGUCAGUGGUGCUGCAUGUCAUCUUCAUUCAGAUUACAUGCUCGGUCAUUCUGCGCUCGACAGGCUGCAGCUUCAGUCCACAAAAUGUCAGAUAACCGAUGAGAAUGUUAACCAUUUGAAACCCAAGCAAAUUGACUGUAUUUCUUUCAAAAACAUGGAAAAAAAAGGCAAUGAGCAAAA